UGGUGACCAGGGGAGGAGUGGUGGUGACCAGGGGAGAAGUGGUGGUGACCAGAGGGAAGUGGUGGUGACCAGGGAAGGAGUGGUGGUGACCAGGGGAGGGGUAUUGAUGAUCAGUGGAGGAGUUGUUCGCGCCUGCUCCGAUCCCUGACUACUCGUCUGCUUAGGAAGAAAUCAUCAUAAGUCCUCGUCUUUGAAUCUUCGUCCGAUAACAUUAUAUAGGGCGUCGGGAGAUUGAGAUUCACGAUGAUAGCAAAAGUACGCCGCCUCGACCACUCUCGUUUGUCUGCGCACGAAUUCUUUACGACGUAGUAGGGGGUUGUCACAUGAUUCAUUGCGCCAAGGUUAAUAACAGGCGCCCGAAGUCAUGAUCAAAGUCAUAAAGACGGUAAGAACAAGAUAUAAUAUAUUACGCCUGUUGGUGUUGAGGACGGUAUAUUUAUGCUUUGCACUCUUAUAUGUUGCGCGUGUGGUCUGAGCCUUGCGCGCGCAUGACGUCAUGUCCACUGGCGACGUAAUAAUGCAAAUUAAUUUUUUAGUUUUGUAUUUUUGUACCGGCUAAAAAGUUUUGCUUUGAUUAAGUGUUUCCAUUGAAGACAAGAGGAACCUAUCACGAGUCAAAUAGAAUGACACUCCAAGAGACCGUAUCUGAUAUCGAAUCUCUUAUAUCGCCUUUUGAGGUUAUUUUCUUAAUACCCUCAAAAGACGGUAUUAGAGAUUACACAGCUGGACAAUCGUUGCUUGAGGAUGCAGUGAGGAUCAAAGUCUCAUACGAAGAUGCACCGACUGCUUGGCGGUCCAUUCCAACCAUCGCGGAAGCUCUUUUUUCCAGGUACUGUAGCACCACACCGCUGUAUAUCGGCCAUCGCUGCCUCGAUCACCAGUGACUUGACGAUUCUCGCAGCACCACAUUCCGGGAGCUCAAGAAUACUAUUGCACUACCUGAAGGCAUGUGAUGCCUUGAGGAAAUCCAAUAGUAUUCUUAUGCUCUUGAGUUCUAUCACAUGGAAAGUGAAACAAGAGGCUUUGCCAUCAAGGGUCAAGGCAUUGUGUAAUUUUGAGAGCUUCAGAUGCAUCCAUGUGUCCCACUCAGCAGAGAUUGGGACCACAGGCUCCCCACCCUAUGCGCAUGAACGCUCAUGGAGAUCGGCAAUGCAUGCGCGCGCGCCUUUCUUGUACAUCUAAGUGAGAAAAAUACAUGAAAAUAGGAAAGAAAGACAUAUUUUUCCUUUCCUUUUCCUCGCGCAAUUAAACGCUUGCUUGAGCCUGUGUCUUGUUGCCGGCAUCGUGGAUCUAAACCACCUUCUCAAACCCCAAACACGUGAGCAAACGCUUUAUCUUACAUGUGUCCGAAAAUCUGAGUACUGAGUACUCUCAGUGAGAAAACAGGAAAUUGAAAGACAUUGAAUAAUUUCCUAUUUCUAUAAUUUGCUACUUCCUAGGCCUUUAAAAUAAUCUUGAUCUCAACUCCUCAGCAAAAAAAGCAGGAAAAAAACACAGGUGCUCGGGGUUCUUGUGACGAUGCUUUGAGAGAAACCCGAAAGCAUUUAGAUUUACUCUAGUAAUAAAGGCUGUAGUACUUUGUAAAUACACAACUUUAGACGUUUAUCCCACCUGCAAAACAUUACUUUGCUUUAAUUGCGACGUGGCAGUGGCGGUCCAGUAUUUUUCAAAUGAUGGUUCAAUUUAUGAAAACGCAACCAAAGGCUUUUGAGCCGUAAUUAGUGUACCACUCAGGGCCGUCGUAGCAUGCCACGUAAGAUUGGGAUGACCCAAAACAGAAACAUCAAGGGGAAAAAAGGGGAGGGGGCACAGCCACGCCCCUACUUGUCAUUUCCUUAUCAUUUUGGAAAAUAUUAGGGGGGGGAACGUGCCCCCAGUGUCUCACGCUCUGCUACGGCCCUGCCACUAAGGUUCAACGUAACUUCCCCUGGACCCGCCACUGUGUAAAUUUCCCUACACAGCAACUGACUGUCAAUCCACAUCAUUUUUCAGCUCUUGGUGUAUCAAUAACGCGCGCUCUUUAAAUACAUCUACAGUCGGAUUAUCAAAGUUCGUGAACCGAACUAGAUAGAGAGAACAAGAACUCGUAGAACGUAGAUAAGUUAUCACCACAGAGAAAAGGAUAGCUGCGCCUCCUUUGGAAAACCAAAGAUACCACUGCUGAUGGCGGGGAUAGCAACACUGGUGUAACUGCGCUUAUCACAUUCCUCAAGUGAGCGUAGAACAGCAGAUUUGAGGUACGUGUCCUUGGCGAAGUUUCCGCCUUUCCAUACUGGGCCUGCCAAAACAAUAGAGAGUUUCGGGGAGCGUUGCAGAUUCGUGGAACAUAUUUUCCACUGGUGGUGGCCAGGGAAGGAGCCGUACGCGCCUGUGCCCAUCCCUGCAAAAAGCCGCCUAACGCACAUUCCAUUGCGCACGCAAGGAUUUCUUUUCGAGGUAGUACCCCUGAUGCAUUGCGCCAGAGCAUGUUAUCAACGGCCGCAAGAUUUGAUGGCGCGCAGAUGAUCAUAGUUAUGAAGGCGGUAGAGCAAGAUACAUUUCGCGGGUAAAGGGGUUAACGUAGGCAACGUAGCGUCGUGUUGAGGACGGCAUGUAUUGCGCGCUUGUUCAGAGCCAUUGCGAGCGCGCGUGACGUCAUGGCCGCUGGUGACGUAAUAAUGCAAAUUAGAAUAAAAAAACAGAGACCCAAACUAGCUUAAAAGCUACAGAUCUGCGAUGAUUUGGAUAAUUGUAAGCGUACUUUUCGGGACUUUGUUGGGUAUUUUGGAUCAUGAACGUUUUGGUAAAUAUAAUAUCUUUAAUUGUGAUUGAAGAUAUUAUAUUUACCAAAACGUUUAGCAGCAGAGUCGCGCAAUGUAAUUCUUGGAAUUACAGCUUUUACAGAGCCAAGCUCCCUUCCCGGUAAGUGUUAAAAGGCCGUAUUAUUCUAAAAUGAUAUUUUUAAUGGGCAACAAAUGACUUUAAUUGUAGGAUUAAAUUAUUUGAGCGGGCAAAUAAUAUUUGCAAGUCAAAUCUGAUUGCAAGCCUUAAAGCCGCAUUGUCACCAGUUUACUUCCGGUCGAGUACGUAACAAUAUCCGAUGGUUUUUAACGGAAAACGCGAAAAAUAUUUCAAAAUAUUGAAAGCAGUGUGUUUAUUGGAAUUUUCUUUGAGGAUCUGAUUGAUAAUUCAGAGCGGAUGGCCUGUUUAAUAUCUCGGAUUUUAAUAGAUUCUUUUGUCUUUUUACGGUUAAGGUUUCUGUCGGACCUCCGGAAAUAAACUGGCGACAAUGCGGCUUAAGCUAACGGGAAAGGACGCAGGGGCAGUUCCCAAAUAGAUGCGGGAAUUUUUUUAAAUGACAUUUAUGGAGCUCGUUGUCUGCUGGCUACUUUGUAUUUAUAUUUUUACUUAUUUGUAUCUUUUGAGGAGGGGUAGGGGGUGGGUUAGUUGUAGAAACACUAGGUGGUCCGCGUAGGCGUUGUGGGAACAGGAAUAAACCAACGAAGGGCAAAUGCUUGAAACUCUUUUAGCGAAACUGAGAUGUUAUCACAAACGAGUAGAACAUACGACAUAGUCAACCCUCUUAGCUAAACUACUGAGAAUUCACAGAGGCGUAAAUGGGACUUGAGUGAUAGUAUUGCUUUCCUGCCAUUGUGCAGGAAAGCAAUACCAUCAGUCAAGUUCCCACCGAUGACAUCAGGAUUUUAACGAAAUCUAAAAUCGAAAUUCAUCAAAGUGGUUCCAUAAAAACUGUUUCACCAGCCAUCUCAGCCAACAGCCGCACUGCCACUGUUGCAUCCUUUAAGAACGUGGAGACGGAGUUACAGCAAAAGGAUGCUUCCAGUGACAAUGAUAACAAAAGCAUCAGCAGUAGAAGGGAUAUCGGUGGUCGCGUGUCGAGGACCACACGAGUCGUCCAUUGUCGGCGCCAAUGCCAAGACGGUCAAGAACCAUCGGUGACCUUGCACGUGAUCUGCCGACCCCGAGGAAAGCCACUUGAUCAAUAUAGGGAUAUCGAGCGAGUGGCUUGCCUCGGGGUCGGCACCAGACCUGACAAUGGAUAAAUCGCGGGCUCUGUUUUCUGAUGGCGAACAAGCAAAGUCAUCUAUUCUGCGAUUUGAUACAGCAAAAUCUCAAUCUGGACAGGUUCCAACGAGUAUAAUCUAGACAACAAGAAAUAGAAACAGCAACAAGGAACUUGGCAAAGAUGAAACAAAAAGCGCACAGUCAGCUUCUGCUAUUUCACACCCUCCGAAAAGCAAGAGAGAAAAAACCAGGGAUAAAACCACCAUGUCUACCAACUCUUGUACUAAUCUCCACAGCAGCACGUACAUAACCAAGACCAUAGAUUAGUUUGCUUCGGAAUCUGGUGCCUCUAUCACAGUUCCCCCAAGUAACAAAGACAGGUCUAGUAAAGAGUUCUUCCUCUGCUACCCUCCCUCAAGCAACAAUGCUCGACCAAAGACCACUGAAUCCAACACAAAUAGGUCAGUGGCACCCAGAAAUUUAACAAAGGGCGAUUCAGGCCCGUCAGUGUACACACUAAAGGUGAUAAGGGAGAAACUCAGGAUCAGCAGCCUUUCAGUGACACCCCCAGAAAAGAGCCCUCAGACGCCUUUACCACCGAAACCAACUAAAGCACAAAAA